AGAUUAAUCGGAUCGUAUGAAAGCUUCUAACUCUCAUUGGGGGGUUCAACUCCUCCAUAAUCU
rnacentral:tRNA from 1 species